GCACGGAGUUAGCCGAUGCUUAUUCCUCAGAUACCGUCAUUGUGUUCUUCUCUGAGAAAAGGAGUUUACGACCCACGGGCCUUCCUCCUCCACGCGGUAUUGCUCCGUCAGGCUUUCGCCCAUUGCGGAAAAUUCCUCACUGCUGCCUCCCGUAGGAGUCUGGACCGUGUCUCAGUUCCAGUGUGGCUGAUCAUCCUCUCAGACCAGCUACUGAUCGUCGCCUUGGGAGGCCAUUACCCUCACCAACUAGCUAAUCAGACGCAAGCCUCUCUUUUGGUGGUUUUCACCUUUCGCUCCUUAGCUCUAUGAGGUAUUAGCCGCAGUUUCCCGCGGUUGUCCCUCGCCAAAAGGUAAGUUCUUACGCGUUACGCACCCGUCCGCCACUGCCAUACGAUAGAGUAAACCCCAUCGUAUUUCGUUCGACUUGGCAUGUGUUAAGCAUACCGCCAGCGUUCAUC
rnacentral:rRNA from 1 species